CAAGAUUGUAACAUAAUAUGUCAAAAUUAAACCAAAAUCUGAAGUCAAGAUAAAUUCUAUAAAAAUUCUUUAUUGUUCAUUCUUGAAAUUCAAUUUUAUAUUUUUGUUUCAAGCAAGGCAAAUUGUGAAAAUUACAGUCAGAAAGUAAAAUCUGAAAACAAGAUAAAAAUUCUAAAAAAAUUCUUGAUUGUUCGUUUUGCAAGCUACUUUUGAAACCUAAUUUGUUUCUGUCUGUGUACUCGUAUGCCCAGCGCAUAUUUGAAAAAAGACCAGGAAAUGCAAAAUGAUUUAAUGCUGAUGUGUGUAACAGGCAGAAAGACGUCUUCCCACUCGGUUAUCUCAAAGUCUAAGCUCUUAAUUGAUUGACUGCUUGAUCCCCUUGGCGGCUACUUAAUAUGCCAAAUCGGACAACCUGAAGCACCUCUGCAUUAUCCCAUAUAUACAUUCCCAAAUGCCAAAGUUUGCGACGGCUAUGCAUAUUACAUAGUUGUGAAUGUAAGUCUACAUCUCAACGGACCCACUUUAAGCCGCAAGACAUUCGCCCACUUCCGAAGUUUGCCGCUGUGUCGCAUGCAUAAUGCAUGGGGCGAACACGGCGUAUACGUAAUGACCUCGGCUUAGCAUUUUUCCAAGCAGAUUUCUUCAACAAGGAAAAUGCAAUACGCAUUUGACACUUAAGAUGUACGAUGUAGUGCGGUAGAAAAUGAAAUUUUCCAUUAGAUUGGCUUUUGCAUUCACAGCAAACACUUCACCACCAUAAAUUCAAUUCAAGUAGUUGAUGGAUGUUGUAUGCAAAACAUGGAACAUGUGUGUUAUCGGCAGAGAAAUGUGCGAGCCUAGGGCCAAGGCUAAUCAAUAGGGCAACUAAACAAGUGUACCUAAGGACAACCGGUCAAUAUGCUUAAGUUUCGGAGCAGACGCCCAAGAAACCCCCAGAGUCAGAGGGUGAACGAUAUUAAUCAUCUAACUCGCUUGCCCGUUUAGUUUAAAGCGACCUCCCAUUUAGCAGGGCCGCUUAAUGGUCGCUUUACACGCCUCCAGCACUCUGUGCAUGUUGCUCCCAUGUGCACUCGACCGUGACACAAUUGCACAUAGUUGCAAUAUUUCACGAACUUGACUCGACGUGUUGGCAAUGUUCGCUCGUAAGUGUGCCUGAGCAUGAGGGCAACGGGAAUUUGAUGUCUGUUGCAUUAUGUCGCAUGUCGUGACUGCGAUUGCGGCAGCUGCCAAAUGAAGUCGCACUUAACUUAACUUUUAACCUUUGUAAGUUUGUCCGCAUGGCAAAGUUUAGCCAAAGAAUUCCCAUGUUGUUUAACUCAAGUAAACGUUGUCUGUUGUGUGGAAUUAAAAUUCCAACUUUAAUUGAAUAAAGUUGAUUUGUUUAAGUAAACAAAACAUUUCACAAUUUAAAUAUUAUUUUUGGAAAAUGUCAAAACUAAAAAAUUGAGCAUUCAAGAUACAAAUCGAAGGACAUCAAAGCAAAGCUGAUUGAUUAACUCGUUUAUGCACAAAUCGUCCGACCAAAGGCCAAUUUGUUUUUGUGUGUGCCACUGACAAGCCACAAAUCGACAGGCGAAAGAUACUAAGUCGAUGUUAAAGGGAAUUGAUGACUGAGACUGAGAUACGGCAGAUACAGAUACAGGAGACAGAUGCACAGUGGAGAUUAAGCGACAUGUAAAACGUGACAUUCAAUGGAAACGAAAUGGAAAAAUAAGCCCGAAGUUAUCUUGCGACCUUUUUUUUUAUUUUCGUCUACCAUUUGUACAUGGACAAUUUGUUUACAUAUCAAUCGAUGUUUAUUUUUUGAGCAGUUGUUGAUUUUUACUAAGGCAGCCAUAAAAUAUUGUUUAUAAUUUGUAUGCUGUCAGUCAGCUCAACAUUCUAUGUUCCAUUGUCUUCAGACAUCUAAUGAAUCCAAUAUUUAU